rnacentral:lncRNA from 1 species
AAGCACCACUGAAAGAUAACAAAAUAUGUAAUGCUGCAAAAUGAAACUUACCUGAAGCAAAGUUGUACUUGACUUCUUUUAUAAAACAGCGUUAUAACUCCAAAUAUUGCGAACUCCCAGACCAACGUUUAAACAUUCUGAAGACAAGUAGCCUGGAUUUAUGAUGUGAGGCAGUUAAUUAAAAGCCGUUUAUUCAGCGUUUUGCAAUUUUAGCUAACCUUGGGGGUUUGCGCGCUGUUGCGAUGCCAUCAGACAGCCAAUCAGCGUUGUGGCAUUUGGCAUUUGGAUUCAGGUGAUUGGUUAAAAAAACUGGGCUGCAGAACUCGGCGUUUAGAUCGCGUGAUUUGCGUGAUCCUGCACUUGCUAAGCAAAUGAGGCUGAGAUGAAUGGGAAUGUCCAAGGUAUCAGCCGACCCUCCUCCUCUCUCCCGCCUCGGUCUCUGUUAAACAGAAUGCUGCUACAGUACUUCGUUGGCAGUGCCAACAGCUGAGGUCUGCUUCCUGAGUUUCCCUCCAGCCUGAGAGAGUUACAGGAACAGAAAGGAAGUGUGUGUUUGUGUGAAGGCAAGGGACAGUGUGUAAUGUACGUUUGUUAGAGAGAGCACAAGAAAAGAGAGAGAGAGAGAGAGACUAAGGAAUGCUGUGAUGUCACCAGUUAAGUCACACACAAAGGCAAGAAGGACACACAAGCACUCACUCUCCCUCUUAGUAAAGUCUGCCGUGGAGCGUUCGCACCCAGCUCGUGUCCCGUUUAUGGCUGCUAAUUAGUGAUGAGAGCUUGUGUGUGGUGAACGGACCGAGCUGGGCUUCAUCAUCUUUACCACCAUCUUCCUCGUUCUGAAGGACUGUUGCUGAAUCUCAGGAUAUAAUCA